UUGUGUUUUGUCCUGAGGCGGAGCAGAAGGGGCGGGACCAGGAUUCGCCAGGCCCAGCGCGUCCUCGGGAUAUAAGCAGCCUGCUUCAGCGCGUGGGGGAGAGAGGACAGGAGCUGAAUCUGGCUUGGGGCUGAGCCGGCUUCUCCACCCAGCUUGAUUCUACAGAGGUGGCUUUUCCCCCCAGCUGCCUGCCCACCCGGUUCUGGUUUGGGAUGGUUUGUUUGACCUUUCUUUUCUUUUCGCAGGGCUUAUCCGUGGAGCAAUGACACCGACCACACGGGGGGGGAGGGGCACCCGCUUGUCGAUGCUGGUCCUGUUUAUUUGCUUGGAUUGUACAAUAAAGACUGUACUCUUUUAUUGAGGGCCGUGCCUCUCUGGCUUUUUGUCGCGGCUCACGAGCCGGGUCGUAACAAAAUGGGGGCUCGUCGUUAGUUGAACCUGGUUGCGUGUGUGGCGUUUCGUUUUUUUUUUUUUUUUGUUUUUUUUUCUCUCUGUAAUCAGUGGGUGAGUGUUCAUCGUGUACACCUGUUUGCAGCUUUGGUCCCUUGAUAGGCGAUAGAGGUGUGGCUCCUUUGGGCUUCAUCUGGUCGUUGUCUUUGUAGUGUCGCUUCUAGGUGGUUAGUGUUAACUGUUUACAGUUAUCUCGGGAGCACGUCCGUGGGAUUCUAGGCAGGGAAUCUGUAUAGAUUUCCUUUCUGGCCCGCUGGUUUAAGGUGCGUAACAACCCGCCGCCGAAAAGCGUGAAGACUAGGGAUCAGCUGUUGGGUAAGUUUUUGUAUAUAGGCAAGAAUAGUGGGGUUUCUCAGUCUGCCUUUUGGGUACACGACUGGGCACUUUUCCCUGGUUACUGUUUGCGUUUCGUUAUAAAUGAUCAUGACUUCUCUCUCUGAAUUUUUUGAUUCUCCCUCGGAGGAGUUUUUGGAAGGUUGCUCAAAAGAGCAAUUAUUCGAGAUUGGAAAACAUUACGGUGUGGAAAUUGAUGGCCGACGGUCUAAAGAGAAUGUGAAGUCCAUUUUGGUCGCAAAUUUAGUUGAGAAGGACAUUUUGCACAGCUCAGUUGGUGAGAUUACAGCUAAACCUACUGUUUUACCUCCUGGUUUAACAUUUGAGCAGCAUAGGGAAUUGCUGUUGUUACAGUUUGAACACGAUAAGUUCAAAAUGAAAGUACAACUGGAAGCAGAGCACACUAGGUUGGAGAUCGAACGGACACGGUUAGAUUUGGCUAAACAGAGUGUUGCGUCUGGAGUCUCUCGUUCUUCUUCCGUCGCUUCUGAGGCGGUUGAUAUGGAGUUUGAUGUCAUUGGGAAUUUACGUUUAUUGCCUAAAUUUAAUGAACUUGAUCCAGAUUCUUUUUUCGUCAUUUGUGAGCGUGUGGCUGAGGCGCGCAGCUGGUCUGAUUCUGCACGUGUGCUGUUGUUGCAGUGUGUGCUUGUGGGGCGGGCUCAAGAAGUUUUUUCUGCGUUGUCGGACUCUGAUUGCCAUGACUAUGCUAAGGUGAAAGCUGCUGUUUUAAAAACUUAUGAGUUGGUGCCUGAGGCAUAUAGGCAGAGGUUUCGGAGUUGCAGAAAAAACUCUGAGCAGAGUUACCUGGAAUUUGCCAGAGAUAUUAAAAUGCAUUUUAUGCGGUGGUGCGCGGCAGCAGAAGUUAAAACCUUUGAGCAGCUAGGUGAACUUGUUGUUUUGGAACAACUUAAAAACUCAGUUCCUGAGGUGGUUGCUACUUAUAUUUGUGAACAGAAAGCUCAGACGGCAGCUGCAGCCGCGGCGCUCGCGGAUGAUUACGUUUUGACCCAUAAAUCCCAGUUUCCGGCAGUAAGUGGUUUCAGGGGGGACAUUGGGCGAAGCGAUAGUUCUCGCCGUCCUGCUGGUUUGCGUAAGGUGGAAGUUAAACCUCCUGGUUCUUUUGACAGUAAUGAUCGUUGUAACUACUGCCAUAAGCGUGGUCAUUGGAAGGCAGAUUGCCAUCUAUUUAAGUCUAGAACUCCAACAUUUCAGUCUAGACCAGAGGGGGCGGGUUUAGCGGCACCUGUGUUUACAGGUGUUGAGAAACGAAAGGAAUCGCCGCUCGUGGAGUCUGUGGAAUCAUAUUUACCAUUUAUAAGAGAUGGUUAUGUAUCAUUGGAAAAAGGUGAAAAGAAAAUACCUGUGAAAGUACUUAGAGACACUGGUGCGUUUAAUUCUUUUAUUCAGGCGGAUGUAUUGCCUCUCCCUGAGCACGCAGAGACGGACAACUGUAUUCCGGUGAGGGAUAUGGGUUUGAAUAUUUUGUUGGUUCCUCUCCACAGGGUGUUUUUGGAGUGCCAGCUUUUUUGUGGAGAGGCUUUGUUGGCGGUGCGACCUGCGUUACCUAUUGACGGGGUCUCGGUCAUUUUGGGUAAUGAUCUAGCGGGUUCCAGCAUGUGGACAGAUGAAUCACCCACACCCUCAGUCGGCAGUGAGCCGGAGUCUCAAAACUUGGAUCGACAAGAGGAGAAUGAGCGUGAAUUGUCGAACGUUUUCACUGCUUGUGCUGUGACUCGAGCUAUGUCGCGCUCUCAAGUGAACGGUGACAAGGACGCGCAAGAGGAAAAUAAAGAUUACAAGUCCUUUUUGCCUCUUGCUGAUUUUCCAUUUCCUGUCACUAGUACUGAUUUGAUAACUGACCAACGUGCAGAUUCCUCAUUAAAAGAAUUAUUUCAACAGGUUCGUCCAGAGGGGGCUGUGUCAGACCACGAAGGUGCGUAUUUUCUUCGAAACUCUGUACUAAUGAGAAGAUGGGUGCCAUAUUUUGGUUCUGUGGAACAUGCGGUGUUUCAAGUGGUAGUUCCCUCUAAAUAUCGUGAGGCACUGUUGAAAGUAGCACAUGAUGAUUCUGGACAUGCUGGUGUAAAAAAAACAUAUGACCGAGUCCUUAGACAUUUUUUUUGGCCUCGUUUGAAGAGGGAUAUUUCCUCCUAUGUUAGGACAUGUCAUGUCUGUCAGCUAACUGCAAAGCCUAACCAACCUUUGAAACCCACUCCUUUAUUACCCAUCCCUGUUGCAACAGAACCGUUUGAGCACCUAAUCAUUGAUUGUGUGGGUCCCUUGCCAAGGUCGCGAUCUGGGGCUUGCUAUUUGUUAACUGUUAUGUGCCAAAGUACUCGAUAUCCGGCGGCUUACCCGUUACGCACGAUAACAGCAAAAUCUGUGGUGCGUGCUCUUUCUCAGUUCAUCUCCGUAUUUGGCAUUCCACAGACUAUUCAGUCGGAUCAAGGUACAAAUUUCUCUUCACGUCUUUUUGGUCAGGUGCUAAAACAGCUUCGUGUUAAACACAACAGAUCUACGGCUUACCAUGCAGAAAGUCAAGGAGCGUUGGAGCGUUUUCAUCAAACUUUAAAGUCAUUGCUCCGUGCUUAUUGUAUAGAACUGGGGAAGGAUUGGGAGGAUGGGUUGCCAUGGUUGAUGUUGGCUGCUCGGGAGGUUACUCAGGAGAGCAUAGGCUUUAGCCCAAAUGAGUUGGUGUUUGGACACACCGUUAAGGGUCCCCUAGCAGCUGUGGCAGCGGAGUGGAAAGAACCAGAACCACCCCAAAAUCUCAUUGACUAUGUGAACGGCUUUAGGCAUAGACUGUAUGCAGCGCGGAAUUUGGCUAAGGAAAAAUUGUCUGUUAGCCAACAUAAAAUGAAAUCUUUGUUUGAUCGUCGAGCAGUGGAACGCUCGUUUUUGCCCGGGGAUCAGGUUUUGGCACUGUGUCCCAUUAUUUCAUCUCCUUUUCAAGCGAAGUUUUCCGGCCCGUAUACAGUGUUAAAGCGGCUCUCUGAUCAGAACUACCUCAUUGCAACGCCUGAGCGCAGAAAAACCACGCAGUUGUGCCACGUGAAUUUGCUAAAACCAUACUAUGCGCGAGAUCAGGUAAAAAAAUCUCCCGAGGACAUACACCCUGUUUGUGCGGUUAAUGAGGUUUGUAUGGCCACUUGUUCUAACGAGGAGACUGGUACCUUGGACAGCGCCAUGACGCACGGGCGUCUUUCCAACUCGGAGUCGCUGCAGAAAUUGGAUGUGUUAUUAUCACAUCUUUCUGAACAUCAUUCAAAACAGUUGAGUGAGCUGAUUUAUAGCUUCCCGGGUUUGUUUUCUGAUACUCCUGGGCGUACAACUUGGUUGGAACAUGAUAUUGAUGUGGGUCAGGUGAGUCCCAUAAAACAACAUUUUUAUCGGGUAAACAUGGAGAAACGAAAAUGUCUUGAUGCAGAAGUGAAAUAUAUGUUGGAUAAUGGGAUAGCGGAGCCAUCUUCGUCUAGUUGGGCAUCUCCCUGCAUUUUGGUUCCUAAACCGGAUAAUACAUUCCGUUUUUGUUCAGACUAUAGAAAAUUAAAUGCUGUCACAAAGCCCGAUUCAUUUCCACUUCCUAGAAUGGAUGAUUGUGUGGAUCAAGUUGGUUCGGCUAAAUUCGUUAGCAGGUUUGACUUGCUUAAAGGGUACUGGCAAGUUCCUCUGACAAAACGUGCGCAGGAGUUAGCUGCGUUUGUUACUCCUUCUGGGUUGUAUUCAUACACAGUUAUGCCGUUUGGACUUCGGAAUGCACCCGCUACUUUUCAACGAUUAAUGAAUUAUGUGGUGGGAGAUAUGCCAGGUUGCGCGGUGUAUUUAGAUGACGUAGUGAUUUAUUCUGAUACUUGGGAACAACACAUGGAGCGCAUUCACGACUUGUUUACUCGCUUGUCGGUGGCAGGACUUACAAUUAAUCUUGCUAAGUGUGAGUUUGCGAAAGCAACCGUGACAUACCUCGGCCAUGUAGUUGGGCAGGGUCAAGUGCGCCCAGUCGCAGCCAAGGUGCAAGCAGUACUGAACUUUCCUGUUCCUGUUACAAAAAAGGAUCUCAUGCGUUUUCUUGGUCUGGUCAGUUAUUAUCGUUGUUUCUGUAAAAACUUUUCUUCGGUAGUAGCCCCAUUAACCAACUUGCUUUCUAAGGAUGCCAAGUUUGACUGGUCUCCUUCUUGUCAGCAUGCGUUUGAGCAGGUAAAGCAGCUUCUCUGUUGUGCUCCGGUUUUGGCUGCCCCACGCUUGAGUGUUCCUUUUCAGCUCCAUGUGGAUGCCAGUUAUGUGGGUGCAGGUGCAGUUUUGACACAAAUAGAUGACCAGGGAAAUUGCAAGCCUGUCAGUUAUUUUUCAAAAAAAUUUAACAAACAUCAAUUAAAUUACUCUGUGAUCGAAAAGGAGACACUUGCUUUAAUCCUGGCUUUGCAGCACUUUGUUUACUUGGGGGGUGGUGCUCCUAUUGUUGUAUAUACGGAUCAUAAUCCGCUUACAUUUUUGACGACGUUAAAAUGUCCUAAUCAACGUUUGGUUCGUUGGUUGCUCUUUUUACAGUCUUUUUCUUUGGAUAUACGGUACAUAAAAGGACGAGAUAAUGUAGUUGCUGAUGCGCUUUCUCGUGCCCCUGUAUUGUAAACGACAAUGCAUCUUAGAUCUGGAUGAUUUUUAUUUAUUUAUUUUUUUUUUUUGGGAUUCCCUUGUGGGAACCCAUGUUUUGUGGGUGGGGGUGUGACGUCCGUCAGUUAUUGUGUUUUGUCCUGAGGCGGAGCAGAAGGGGCGGGACCAGGAUUCGCCAGGCCCAGCGCGUCCUCGGGAUAUAAGCAGCCUGCUUCAGCGCGUGGGGGAGAGAGGACAGGAGCUGAAUCUGGCUUGGGGCUGAGCCGGCUUCUCCACCCAGCUUGAUUCUACAGAGGGCUUAUCCGUGGAGCAAUGACACCGACCACACGGGGGGGGAGGGGCACCCGCUUGUCGAUGCUGGUCCUGUUUAUUUGCUUGGAUUGUACAAUAAAGACUGUACUCUUUUAUUGAGGGCCGUGCCU